UACGGAGGGUGCGAGCGUUGUCCGGAAUCAUUGGGCGUAAAGGGCGCGUAGGUGGCCCAGUCAGCGUGCGGUGAAAGCUCGGGCUCAACCCCGGGUCGGCCGUGCGAACUGACAAGCUUGAGCAAAGUAGAGGCGAGUGGAAUUUCGGGUGUAGCGGUGGAAUGCGUAGAUAUCGGGAAGAACAUCAGUGGCGAAGGCGGCCUGCUGGGCUGUUGCUGACGCUGAGGCGCGACAGCGUGGGGAGCAAACAGG
rnacentral:rRNA from 1 species